rnacentral:rRNA from 1 species
ACCGCCGUAUGCUGACCGGCGGUUACUAGCAACUCCGGCUUCAUGUAGGCGAGUUGCAGCCUACAAUCCGAACUGAGACCGGCUUUUAGGGAUUGGCUCCACCUCGCGGUUUCGCAACCCGUUGUACCGGCCAUUGUAGCGUGGGUGUAGCCCAGGACAUAAGGGCCAUGCUGAUUGACGUCAUCCCCACCUUCCUCCGAGUUUCUCUCGGCAGUCCCGUGUGAGUGAUACAACACACGGUAGGGGNUUGCGCUCGUUGCGGGACUUAACCCAACAUCUCACGACACGAGCUGACGACAGCCAUGCAACACCUGUGGCCAGGUCCCUUGCGGGAAGACAACGUUUCCGCCGCUGUCCUGGUCAUGUCAAGUCCUG